CCGGGGCGGCGGACUACCAUGCAGUCGAGCGAGAACUUCGGUUCUAGCGGCGGACGGGUUAGUAACGCGUGGGAACGUGCCCUUCACUACGGAAUAGUCCCGGGAAACUGGGUUUAAUACCGUAUACGCCCUUCGGGGGAAAGAAUUUCGGUGAAGGAUCGGCCCGCGUUAGAUUAGAUAGUUGGUGGGGUAACGGCCUACCAAGUCUACGAUCUAUAGCUGGUUUUAGAGGAUGAUCAGCAACACUGGGACUGAGACACGGCCCAGACUCCUACGGGAGGCAGCAGUGGGGAAUCUUAGACAAUGGGCGCAAGCCUGAUCUAGCCAUGCCGCGUGAGUGAUGAAGGCCUUAGGGUCGUAAAGCUCUUUCGCCAGGGAUGAUAAUGACAGUACCUGGUAAAGAAACCCCGGCUAACUCCGUGCCAGCAGCCGCGGUAAUACGGAGGGGGUUAGCGUUGUUCGGAAUUACUGGGCGUAAAGCGCGCGUAGGCGGAUUGGAAAGUUGGGGGUGAAAUCCCAGGGCUCAACCCUGGAACUGCCUCCAAAACUAUCAGUCUAGAGUUCGAGAGAGGUGAGUGGAACUCCGAGUGUAGAGGUGAAAUUCGUAGAUAUUCGGAAGAACACCAGUGGCGAAGGCGGCUCACUGGCUCGAUACUGACGCUGAGGUGCGAAAGUGUGGGGAGCAAACAGGAUUAGAUACCCUGGUAGUC
rnacentral:rRNA from 1 species